rnacentral:lncRNA from 1 species
CUGAAAGGUUCCCGGGUGACUCUGCUGCUGCUGGCCGGCCGGGCGGGGCUCUGGGGGACCGUGCUUCACGGUCAGCUCACUUCCGGUCUGUGACGUGGAGGUAAUGGCACCAUCCCAAGGGUCAGCUGAGUUAGCUGUUGGGGCAGAGUGACAGGGGACCGCUUGUUGUCCCAGCAGAUGGCACACUGUGGCAUUCCUCUCCAGCACCGUGAUGGGGGGAACGCACGUGGGCCCCAUACAGGUGCCACGCCGCUACUCUGGUCCCCGGGCCAGUAGAUACAACUCACACCCGCUUCUGAUGGUCUGCCGGUUCUGAACUCCCAUUUGCAGGACGGUGACAGACCAACAGUGGCUGAAUGUGGGCCUCUGGGCCUUCCUGGCACCAUCAGACGUGGAGUGCAGCACAUAGUGGGGUCGCAGGCCAAGAAGAGAGAAGCAAGGAGCACAACACACGGGCGGGGGCCUCGCUCGCUCACCUGGGGCUGACCUGCAAACUCGGCGUGGACGGAUGGAUUUCCAGGGCGCGGGGCCUUCCGGAGACAAGGGCAGAGGCUCCAGCACAAACGGCCUUUUUCCUUCACAGACGCGUCGUGCCUUGUUGCCUUCAUGCAUCGCAACCUGAGAUUAGAAACAUUUUUGUGUGUCACCGUGCGGAACGGGAUUGACGGCGAGGGGACCGUUCCCGGCUCACCCGCUGCACAGUGGGGGCUGUUUCCCGUCCGCGGGUGCUGCCAGAUGCUGCCCGGGGUGGGACCCGCGGCCCGGGAUCCUUGUGCGGAUUAACGGGGACACAAAGUGGGAUCAGUACCGGGCGGGCCGCUCCCCGGGGCUGGCUUUCACCGGGCCCCCCACACGUCCUUUGCCAGUAGGCUUUCAUUAGUUUCUGAAUCCAAAGCUCCUACAGGAGAGGGCCGUCCCAUGUCCCUUCCUCCCUCGCACCCCCCGCACCCCGCCAACGCCAGCCCACGACGAUCGCACUCGCUGUGAAUCUCAGGGACGUCCCGACAGGAAAUUAUCACACGUCAUUACGUGGCUUCAAACACAAUUUUCCAGCCUUUGCAAAUCAGUCUCCGCGAGCGUGAGGGGUAAUGGGAACUGUCUGUUUCACUUUC